ensembl:lncRNA
GCAAAUUUGAUUUCAUCUUUAGUAAGUAGUAAAGUUAUAUGCUUGCCAAAAAAAAUAAAUAAGUGACACACUGGAAGACAAAUGUCACACAAUUUCAAUUUUAUGUGUAACCUUGAAAUGAUGAACUUAUAGGAGCAGAGAGCAGAAUUGUGGCUAUUAGGCGUCAAUGUGGGUCUUUUAACAAUGGGGAAACAAUUGGUUUAAGGAUAUAAAACUGCAGUUGGACAAGAGGCAUGGACUCUGUGAUGUCUUGAGGUCUACUGAGAGCAUGACAAUUAUGGUUGAUAACAAUAUGCUAUGUUUUAAAAGUUGUGAGAUAGUAUACUUUAAGUGUUCUCAAAACAAAAAUGGUGAUUAUGUGUGAUAUAACAUGUUAAUUGGUUUAAUUUAGCCAUGCCAUUGUGAACAGACUGUAUGAUGUAUCAUAAUUGUGCAUGACUUUAUUUAGGAGCUAAAUAAAUGAAUGGAAAAAAUCUUAGCAUGGUGGCAUGUGUCUGUAAAUCCAGUGCUGGGUAGGUAGAGACAGGUAGAUCAUUGAAUUCACUCAUCAGCCAGUCUAGUCGGUUGGUGAGCUCCAGGUUCAUUGAAAAAUUCUGUGUCAAAAAAUAAGGUAGUGAGUGAUUGAGGAGGAAGACACCCAAAAUUAACCCCUGGUCACCACAUGCAUGUGCCCACACACACACACAUUCACCCACAUGCAUAUAUGUACACAUAUGAGCGUGCACACACACACACACACACACACACACACACACACACAAAUGCAGAGGGCCAGCUUCUCCUGAGAUGUAUGGCUAUGUGUGGAAGAAGCUGUUGAACAAGAUCAAGUUGAAUCAGGAAGGAAGGUGGACAAGGAGAAGGAAUACUGGACAGUAACCAAGUGACUACUCUAUCCUAGAUCUCCCUCAUCUCUCCACGGCCACCUUUUCUUUGUCUGGACUUCUCUGCAUGGGCUGAGAAUGCUUGCUUCUGUCUGACGUCGAGGAACGAACUGCCAUCCCACUGUGCCCUGAACAUGAUGAACAUUUUGGGAGAAGGGGUAAUUUUUAGCUAAAGAAAAAUGCCGCCUCCUUGCAAGAAAAUUUGGCCACUAACUUCAUGUGACAGGUGUAAUGGACGGCAGAGGUUUUGGGGGAUGCGUGGUGGAAAGCGAAACUCGAGAGGCCACUGGUGUGUUUGUGCUUCUGUCAUCCUGACCAGUAGCUCUGUCACCACCAUGGAACCACCCUAGCAGUAGUGGCCACUGUCACUUGCAUGUUGGGCAUACCCGUUACUGAAGCUUCCUGGAAGGAGAUGGAAUAUGGGCUCUCUCACAGAAAGAAUGAAACAAGCUGAUUUUCUGGGCUCUG